UGUUUUUCUGAUGUCAAAUGCCUGCAAGUGCAGGCCUGCACUUGUUAAAGCACUGCCAAUUGAAGCCUCUUAUGGUCUACCACCUAAAGAGAAAUUGCUAGAAUACUUCCUCCUUGAAAUAUACAUUUUUACUCUUCUAAAGGGCAACAAUAGAUUCCAGUCCAAGAAGAUGAACACAGACUGAUCACCACCAAUAUUGACCAAAUGCUUGUGACUUGAACACAUCUACAGGGCUUAAAAAUGUAUUGUGGUCAUGAAACUGCUAUGUCCUCAGGUAUGAAGCUUUUAGCAAAGACUGAGGCAUUCUGUGUAAGUACAGUCACAACUUGAUUGAAUGGAAAAUCUAGAAUAUAGAAAACUCUAGACUACGUCAGAAUUUCUAUGCAUAUGGAAGUUGUGAAAGGAAUACUAGCAAACUACACUUUAUCCAUCUCUACUACAAAUAACAAUUUAGUAUUCUCAAUGCUAUUUUUCAAUGUUCAAGACUUCUGAGAAAUUAAAGAACUUUCACAGGCUAAUUAGUAAUAAUAAUAGAACUUAGAGGCUGUGUGGUAACCAUUGAGAAACAGUCUGAACCACUAAUUGAGCACCUGGAAAGGAUGCGCUCAGCCCUGGGAGCACAGGUGAAGGCAAUUCAGCUGUGUGAAGGGGUGGAGCCUGGCUGCACCUCUCUUCGACCUCAUUUAAGGGCUGACUGCCAUUGUAGAAGGAUUUCUGGUCGUGAAUCCCUUCCUUGUGGAGCCCAGAUCUUCAGAGACAGUGAUGGUGGAGGCAGGAAAAAGCGAAGGUCGACAUCUUUGGAUCGAGCCAAACCUAUAGCAGUCCUCUGAUCACAAGUUUGGGCAACGGUACCAUACUGAUAAUCUGUAGUAUAAGAACUCCAGCAUUAAGCUGGAGAAAUUGAAAGGCAUGUACUGAAAUUAGUGGCAGACUGAAGGAAAAGACAAUAUUGAAGUGGAUCAACAACUCACUA